rnacentral:lncRNA from 1 species
GUGGGUUUGUGUCAUGUGUGUUCCCACACCAGCGUUCUGCCUGCUCUAUCUUCUUAAUUGAUAUUACUAGAUCUGUUUGCACAGCAAGACCCCACUGUAUCUUCCACUCCUGAACAGUCUCUAGCACUGAGUUAAGAUUAAAAGGAGAGAGGAUUUGCUAUUAGUAACAUGAGUGAGAAGUGUUGAAGAGAAGCAAGGAAAUAGAGGAUCAAAAAGUGCCACUGCUACCGUUUACUUGGCAAGGCAUUCAGCAGGUAAAGAGUUAUAUUCUUUUACAGUAGGCCUUCAUGUUGAAUAUGCACGUGGCGAUUUUUAAAUCCAGACCUCAGCCCAGUGGUGUUGCUGUUUAAUUAUCAGAAGACUCCUCCGUACAUGAUUCUGGGUACUGGGGAGAGGCCACGGCUGCCCCACCACUUCGGGGUGCCAGCAGAGAGCAGGGCACUGGGCAGCAGCACCCCAUCCCCAGUGGAAUUCCAAAGCUUCAGCAAAGCCUGCUUCCAUAUGGUGCCUCAGGACACACAAACACAUCGAUACGGGAAGAUAAAACCUCCUGACAUUACAAAGCCAUUUGGUCAGAAGACCUGCUGGCUGACUGCUGAUGUUGGACGCUCACCCACUGUGGGCACAAAUACUAGGACUAUGAAGACAUCUGUGUGCACUGUGUCCCUGUCUGUGUAUCCCAUGUAGCUGAGCCCCUGCUUGGUGAGUUACGGUCUCCUGGGGCCCUGAAAACCACAGGAGGAGCAGGAUGGAGUCAUGGUGGCCAUCCAUCUCCAUUGCUCCCUUCUUUGCAGAUGGACUUCUCUGGUAGUAGCUGUGCACUGGACUUUCUGCCCUGUGUUCGCAGGGGAGAUGUCUGCCCUCUACACAGCUCCAGGCCAGGGUAGGGCAAAAAUGAGAUCACAAGGGCUUCAGAAAUCCCUGAGAAGAUAAAAAGAAGUACACUAUUUCAACCAAAUACAAAUAUUUAAUUAAUUGAACAAAGUUGUUAUUUAAGAGCAUUGAAGGGAGCUAUCUAGGGAGCUAUUGAUCUUGCACACUUCUUUCAAAACUCUUCUGUAAAAAAAAAAAAAAAAAAAAAAAAAAGGUUCAAAGGAGGUCCCCUUUUUCCUGUCAUCUGGUUAUGAUUCGCCUAAACUUUCGUGAUCUCCAAGGUCAUGUCCUCACCCCCCACCUUGCACCGAGGAGCCUUGGGUGGCAGGGCCUGGUGCUGGUGCACCAGACCAUGCUCACUUGCACGCCACAUGGGAUGGCAUACUGGCUGUGUGAGUAUGGCCCCACGAGCCUGGGGCAGCUGGAGGCACUCCAGAAUCAGUAUUAGUGACCCACACAGAUGCAGUGGUCUGCAGGUCAGUCUGCAGGCAAAAAGGAACUUGCCUAGAAAAAGUGUGAGAAAAUGAGCUAGUAUGAUAUACCCCUGAUAUCAAAGGUAUGCCAUGUUAUUUCUUCGAUCUGUCUUUACUAGUCUGAUUUGAGUAGAUUAAGACUGUUCUGCUGCUUCAAGCUGUCUCUGUAAGUAGAUGGGGAAAUUGAGGAUACGAUGGAGUACCAACUCCACUGGCUCUGCAGUUGAUUUGUCCCAGUAUGUUCCCAUCCAGAGAGAUGUGAGGGGGGAAACACACCUCUCUUUCUCUCUCUUCUUCAUCCUGGUUAAGUCACCUUGCUGCUCCAUGUGAAGCUAACUUAU